rnacentral:lncRNA from 1 species
GUACCAAACAAUCAUCAAUAGCUAACAUCGGCAUAUUCAUCCAACCAAAAAGACCACCAGUAGAGUUAUACAAUUUCUACAGUCAUAGUCAAACAUCAUACAUGCAUGCGUAUUUAGUAAAUAUAGAGAACAGCUCAUACAGGCAUACAUAUUCAACAAGCACAUAAACUAGCUCAUACUAAUAUCCACAUGCAUGUGCAAUCAACAUAAUUCCCACACAUACUCGUCAGCCCUAUCCUAUAACAUAUACACAUACUUCCUCUCACU